rnacentral:ncRNA from 2 species
UUCAAUAAAUUUGCACGAUGCGCCGGUACCUAUCAAGGUAUAAAAGGGAAUUCGUAAAUCGAAGCUGUCCCCGCAACUGUACACACGGACGACUGCCAAAAGAAGCCACUAUGAAGACAUGGGAAGGCUUGGCGGAAGGAUGAAGUGAAGCCAGGAGACCUGCCCCGCAUCGUCAAAGCGA